rnacentral:rRNA from 1 species
AGGACGAACGCUGGCGGCGUGCUUAACACAUGCAAGUCGAGCGGAAAGGCCCUUCGGGGUACUCGAGCGGCGAACGGGUGAGUAACACGUGAGCAACCUGCCCUUAGCUUCGGGAUAGCUCCGGGAAACCGGAAUUAAUACCGGAUAUGACUAUGGCCGACAUCAGCCAUGGUGGAAAGUUUUUCGGCUAGGGAUGGACUCGCGGCCUAUCAGCUAGUUGGUGAGGUAACGGCUCACCAAGGCGACGACGGGUAGCCGGCCUGAGAGGGCGACCGGCCACACUGGGACUGAGACACGGCCCAGACUCCUACGGGAGGCAGCAGUGGGGAAUAUUGCGCAAUGGGCGAAAGCCUGACGCAGCGACGCCGCGUGGGGGAUGAAUGCCUUCGGGUUGUAACCCCUUUCAGCAGGGACGAAGCGAAGUGACGGUACCUGCAGAAGAAGCGCCGGCUAACUACGUGCCAGCAGCCGC